rnacentral:pre_miRNA from 1 species
GAUAGGAAGAGGAAGAAAAGAGGGCCUAAGAGCGGUGGGCAUGGGAACAUGAUGGAAGGCGAAGCUCUUGGUUCCUCAUCUAACAUUGGAGGAGACCUUGGUUCGAGUUUUCCGAUGCCUCCCAUGCCUAUUGUUCUUUGGUGCUCCUUCCUCUUCCUUGCGGCU